rnacentral:misc_RNA from 1 species
GGCCGCUUUUUCAAAGGCAGAGUAAGUAUCCACCAAGUUUCCAAGUCGAUAACUUUGGAGAGACCGGAAAAGUGGAGCUGUUAUUUCCCCAUAUUGGGAAUAUUUCUCCGAUUGCUUAAUCAAUCUAUUAGCGUCCUGGAAGACAUUGAGGGCAUCGGCAAGGGCGAGGAGAGAGGGAGAGUUGGAGGAGAAAGAGAGGAGCUGUUUGAGGGAAGGUCCGUCUUGGGAAAACACGGCAUCGGAGAAGCGGUUUAGGUAAUCAGUUAUUCUCCGGUGCGCCUCUCCCAUGCUGAGGUACGCCAUUCUGUGUUAUUUGUGCAGUAUUAGAUGGAUCCAAUCCAAGUACCAAUGAAUUUGAUGAAUACAGGUCUCCUUCUCCGUGUGAGUUUUGGAGAAAGCAGAACUCCGCUGGGUGCUCAUUCGG